GCUCCUUGAAAAGCUACAAAUAAUGCGAACAUAUUAGGAGUCCUGCCUGCCCGGUGACUUAGUUAAACGGCCGCGGUAUCUUGACCGUGCAAAGGUAGCAUAAUCAUUUGCCUCUUAAAUGGGGGCUGGUAUGAAUGGCAAGACGGAAAUUAAGCUGUCUCUCCCUUGGUUUCCCUAAUUUAAUUUUUCCGUGAAGAAGCGGAAAUUUAGUCGUGGGACGAGAAGACCCUGUCGAGCUUUAGUGGUUAUUUUCUAGGCAGAGUAAAGGCCGUUUGCUGCUAAUUAACUUAUAAAAGGAAUUUGUUUUACGAGGCGAAGGACCUUGUCUUGGGAAGUACGCUUUGGUUGGGGCAACCGCGGAGUAUAGAAAUCCUCCGUUAAGUUAACUAAAUGAAGUUAUAUCUUUUUUGUGGGCUUACUAUCGGAUUGAUCCGCCUGUAUGGGGGCGAACAAAUGAACAAGUUACCGCAGGGAUAACAGCGUAAUUCCCUUGGAGAGUUCGUAUUGGUAAGGGAGUUUGCGACCUCGAUGUUGGAUCGGGAUUUCCUGGGGGUGAAGCAGCUCCUAAGGGUUGGUCUGUUCGACCAUUAAAAUCUU
rnacentral:rRNA from 1 species